GACGAACGCUGGCGGAGUGCUUAACACAUGCAAGUCGAACGGAAAGGCCCUGCUUUUGUGGGGUGCUCGAGUGGCGAACGGGGGAGUAACACGAGAGUAACCUGCAACUGACGUUGAGAUAACCUCAGGAAAGUGAGGCUAAUACCGGAUCAGAGUACCAGUAGCAUAGCGAGGGUCGGAAAGAUACGGCGGUUGGGGAUGGACUCGAGGCUUAUCAGUAUGCUGGUGGGGUAGUGGCUUAGCAAGGCUGUGACGGGUAGCCGGGCUGAGAGGGGGACCGGCCACAUUGGGACUUAAGUACGGCCCAGACUCCUACGGGGGGCAGCAGGUGGGAAUAUUGCACAAAGGGCGGAAGCGUGAUGCAGCAACGCCGCGUGCGGGAUGACGGCCUUCGGGGUGUAAACCGCUUUCGCCUGUGACGAAGCGAGAGUGACGGUAAUGGGUAAAGAAGCAACGGCUAACUACGUG
rnacentral:rRNA from 1 species